rnacentral:rRNA from 1 species
GACGUAGGGCGCGAGCGUUGUCCGGAUUUAUUGGGCGUAAAGAGCUCGUAGGCGGUUUGUUGCGUCGGCUGUGAAAUCCCGAGGCUCAACCUCGGGUCUGCAGUCGAUACGAGCAAACUAGAGUGUUGCAGGGGAGACUGGAAUUCCUGGUGUAGCGGUGAAAUGCGCAGAUAUCAGGAGGAACACCGGUGGCGAAGGCGGGUCUCUGGGCCGAUACUGACGCUGGAGGAGCGAAAGCGUGGGGAGCGAACAGG